GGUUAAGUUAAUAAGGGCGCACGGUGGAUGCCUUGGCACUAGGAGCCGAAGAAGGACGUGACAAACGACGAUAUGCCUUGGGUAGCUGUAAGUAAGCGAUGAUCCAGGGAUUUCCGAAUGGGGGAACCCAACAGGUACUACCUGUUACCCGCAUCUGUUAAGGAUGUGAGGAGGAAGACGCAGUGAACUGAAACAUCUAAGUAGCUGCAGGAAGAGAAAGCAAAAGCGAUUGCCUUAGUAGCGGCGAGCGAAACGGCAGAAGGGCAAACCGAAGAGUUUACUCUUCGGGGUUGUAGGACUGCAAUGUGGACUCAAAGAUUAUAGAAGAAUGAUUUGGGAAGAUCAGCCAAAGAGAGUAAUAGCCUCGUAUUUAAAAUAGUCUUUGUACCUAGCAGUAUCCUGAGUACGGCGGGACACGAGAAAUCCCGUCGGAAUCUGGGAGGACCAUCUCCCAACCCUAAAUACUCCCUAGUGACCGAUAGUGAACCAGUACCGUGAGGGAAAGGUGAAAAGCACCCCGGGAGGGGAGUGAAAUAGAACCUGAAACCGUGUGCCUACAACAAGUUCGAGCCCGUUAAUGGGUGAGAGCGUGCCUUUUGUAGAAUGAACCGGCGAGUUACG
rnacentral:rRNA from 1 species